UUAAAUUGAAGAGUUUGAUCAUGGCUCAGAUUGAACGCUGGGGGCAGGCCUAACACAUGCAAGUCGAACGGUAACAGGAAGCAGCUUGCUGCUUUGCUGACGAGUGGCGGACGGGUGAGUAAUGUCUGGGAAACUGCCUGAUGGAGGGGGAUAACU
rnacentral:rRNA from 1 species